CGAACGAGUUGUGAGUGUGUUGAAAUGAAUUGUGAAAGAGUGCGAAAGUUUGUUUGACAAAUUGUAGAGUGUUUGCAUAUCGAUAGCAGUGAUCAGUCAUAUGUAACGAAUGAUAAUAAAAUAAAAUUUGUGAAAACCGAAAGCAUACAGUCCCAUUAUAUUCGAGAAUCAGCAAAGGAAUAAAUCUCACGAGGAGAAUUUAUAACACGGCCCGCUUCUGAGACCUUGGGAAAAUAUUUUUUCAGUACGGACCGACCUAAACGGUCAAUAACGUGUUCAUUUUGUAUUUGAUAGUUCAUGGUUAUAAUGUUCCGAUAAAAUUCCAGUUGCGAAGCCGGUACAUUUGAGAUCAGUUGCGUUUGUCAUUUUAGUGCAAGCAAGGCUCAAACGACGCGAUAAAAGCUGGAUAAAAAGCUUUUAAUUUCAUUACAAUAGAUGCUUUUCUACUCAACAAGAAAACACAAGGUAAACUAAGUAAAAAUAUUUAUUUUCUGGAUCGUUUUACAGCAAGGACAUGCUUGAAAAAUGCUUUUUGACACACAAAUACAAAUUUUAGUUGCCGAAAAACAAUUUGUUCUCUUUACAAGCCCAGGAAUCGUCUAUUGACUAUAAACUGCCAUUUUUUCUUAAAAUUUUAUGUUUAAGGACAAGUUGUACGUUGUACUGUUUAUAUUUAUACGAGGGUGUUGAUGGAGUACAGCGUAUAUCACGUCGUGAUUCACUCAAUUUCGGUUACCGUCAAUCGGAAAAACACUAAACAUUUACAGUGAAGCGUGAGGAAAAAAUACUGUUUAUCGUUUCAGAACACUUUUCAAAGAUUUACUGUCAAAAUACCAAAAUGUUACUUAUUGUUAAUACCGUUAAAAUACCAGAGACCCUCAUACGUAUAUUUUCAAAGAAUAGCUGAAAAAACCCCUUGAAAAACCCCGCUGCUGCAGCCAAUCAGAUUGCAGGAAAUAAAAAAAUAUCACUAGGCAUGCACAAAUAAAAAAAAUAAAUGUUACAUAUUUCUUCUUAGAAUGACCCAAUUAGCCUUUCUCACGCCGCCAUUUUUGGGUGGCUUUUGAGCCGAAGUCUGCAAGAUAAGUCCACAUAACAGCGACCUUUUAAUGUUUUAUAAUUUUUUGGACGAAUGAUGGUAAAUUUUCUUUGUAAAUGGUCAGGUUAUUUUGAAAAAUUGCUUUUCACAUUGUUUUAAUUGUCUGCAGUGGUGAACGAGAAUUAGAUGCCACCCAAAAAUGGGGGAUAUUCGUCAUCGUAAGAAAGGCUAAUUAUAUGAAGAUACCAAAAAUUAUAUUAGGGGUUGGUCGCACUUUAACUACCAAACAUGUAAACAUGUUGGCUUUACCGUGGCUUUACUGACGAUUUAGAAAAUGUGGGAAUCCUAGGAUAAGUUGCUAUUUAUAGUGUCUAACAAUUCUAGUAAUGUGCAGACAUCAGUGAAAUUGCUAAACAAAACGAGGAUCCGCAAUAUCUUAUCGUCCCUCUAAAAUUAAAGAUCGUAUUCGCAACAGUACAGUUCGUAUAUUCGCAACAUUAUAGUUAGUAUUCGCAAAUUUUACAAACUUUAAUUUUGCCGGAGAUUUGACGCCUUUAUCUGCCAAAAUUCAAUUGAUGAAUGCAAGAGCAUAAACUACGAACAUUAUAUUUUAUUUCAGACAAUUUGAGGGGACGUUUAUUGGAGAGGGGUUUAAAAGAGAAGCUAGUUUUAGUCAUGCCAAUACGAUCAGCUAAGACAACAUAAAAACUUUUACAUGAACUUUCAGGAUAGCUAGUAAAUCUGUUCACAGGGACGUUGCCUCUGGGAGG